rnacentral:rRNA from 1 species
AUUGAACGCUGGCGGCAGGCCUAACACAUGCAAGUCGAGCGAGCGGCGGACGGGCGAGCAAGGUAUGGGGAUCUGCCCGAUAGAGGGGGAUAACUACUGGAAACGGUGGCUACUCCCGCAUACUAUCGGUUGAACCCAUAUUGGAUUAGCGAGUAGGUGGGGUAAAGGCACACCUAGGCGAAGAUCACUAGCUGGGCUGAGAGGAUGAUCAGCCACACUGGGACUGAGACACGGCCCAGACUCCUACGGGAGGCAGCAGUGGGGAAUAUUGCACAAUGGGCGCAAGCCUGAUGCAGCAAUGCCGCGUGUAUGAAGAAGGCCUGAGGGUUGUAAAGUACUUUCAGCGGGGAGGCGUUACCCGAAGAAGAAGCACCGGCUAACUCCGUGCCAGCAGCCGCGGUAAUUC